AUUGAACGCUGGCGGCAGGCCUAACACAUGCAAGUCGAGCGGAUGAAGGGAGCUUGCUCCUGGAUUCAGCGGCGGACGGGUGAGUAAUGCCUAGGAAUCUGCCUGGUAGUGGGGGAUAACGUCCGGAAACGGGCGCUAAUACCGCCUACGUCCUGCGGGAGCAAGUGGGGGGUCUUCGGACCUCACGCUCUCAGAUGAGCCUAGGUCGGAGUAGAUAGCUGGUGGGGUAAAGACCUACCAAGGCGACGAUCCGCAACUGGUCUGAGAGGAUGAUCAGUCACACGGGAACUGAGACACGGACAAGAGUCCUACGGGAGGCAGCAGUGGGGAAUAUGGGACAAUGGGCGAAAGCCUGAUCCAGCCAUGCCGCGUGUGUGAAGAAGGUCUUCGGAGUGUAAAGCACGUUAAGUUGGGAGGAAGGGCAGUAAGUUAAUACCUUGCUGUUUUGACGUUACCAACAGAAUAAGCACCGGCUAACUACGUG
rnacentral:rRNA from 1 species